GCGGAGUGGUCGUUGAUAUGACAAUCCAUAACCUGUUUGAUAAAAUGCCGAGACGAAUGCUAAAAGAAAUUCUGAAAAUUAACUUUGUUACUACUCAAUUCUCGAUUCUGUUAUUUGUGAUUCUCUCUCUCCAAGAAUCUCGUUGCGAAUGUGAGGGAUGGAGAGUGGUUUGUGACAAAAGUAAAUUUUUCAUCCUUGCAAAAUUUCAUUAUAAUAGGACUCAGCCUUCUUCAAAAAUAGAUGAGGAGCCGCCGUGAAGAGAGCAAUUUCAAUAACUGUUCAAGUAGCUAGUGGAAAGAUAUGAAGUUAAAAGUGGAAGUUGUGAUUGAAAAUAUGCUGGACUCCGCCGUGAAGAGAAUAGAUGUUGCAGAAGAUAGCGGAAAGAUAUGUAGUUAAAAAGUGGAAGCUGUUGUUACAGAAAUGCGGAGUGCUGGAGGCCAGAGGGACUGGCCAAAACAGCAAAAAGGAACAAAACAGACACAGUUGAUUUAGUAGUAUUAGUACCUGCUGCAGCUGCUCCAACAACAUCUUUCUCGGAGUCUCUCUUGGUAAGGACCAGCCUGGUCUGGUAGUGGCCAUGUUUGGUGUAGAAAUCCGAGAGUGCCAUAGUGAUGCAGUUCAAC